UACGUAGGGGGCAAGCGUUGUCCGGAAUUAUUGGGCGUAAAGAGCUCGUAGGCGGUUUGUUGCGUCGGCUGUGAAAUCCCGAGGCUCAACCUCGGGUCUGCAGUCGAUACGAGCAAACUAGAGUGUUGCAGGGGAGACUGGAAUUCCUGGUGUAGCGGUGAAAUGCGCAGAUAUCAGGAGGAACACCGGUGGCGAAGGCGGGUCUCUGGGCCGAAAUUGACGCUGAGGAGCGAAAGCGUGGGGAGCAAACAGG
rnacentral:rRNA from 1 species